rnacentral:rRNA from 1 species
CCUACGGGCGGCUGCAGUGGGGAAUAUUGCACAAUGGGCGCAAGCCUGAUGCAGCCAUGCCGCGUGUGUGAAGAAGGCCUUCGGGUUGUAAAGCACUUUCAGCGGGGAGGAAGGCGGUGAGGUUAAUAACCUCAUCGAUUGACGUUACCCGCAGAAGAAGCACCGGCUAACUCCGUGCCAGCAGCCGCGGUAAUACGGAGGGUGCAAGCGUUAAUCGGAAUUACUGGGCGUAAAGCGCACGCAGGCGGUCUGUCAAGUCGGAUGUGAAAUCCCCGGGCUCAACCUGGGAACUGCAUUCGAAACUGGCAGGCUAGAGGCUUGUAGAGGGGGGUAGAAUUCCAGGUGUAGCGGUGAAAUGCGCAGAGAUCUGGAGGAAUACCGGUGGCGAAGGCGGCCCCCUGGACAAAGACUGACGCUCAGGUGCGAAAGCGUGGGGAGCAAACAGGAUUAGAUACCCCUGUAGUC